rnacentral:rRNA from 1 species
GAAAUUAAGCAUAUCAAUAAGCGGAGGAAAAGAAACUAACAAGGAUUCCCCUAGUAACGGCGAGUGAAGCGGGAAGAGCUCAAAUUUGUAAUCUGGCGGUCCCAGGCCGUCCGAGUUGUAGUCUGGAGAAGCGUCUUCCGUGCCGGACCGUGUACAAGUCCCUUGGAACAGGGCCUCAUAGAGGGUGAGAAUCCCGUCUUUGACACGGACUGCCGGUGCUCUGUGAUGCGCUCUCGAAAAGUCGAGUUGUUUGGGAAUGCAGCUCAAAAUGGGUGGUAAAUUCCAUCUAAAGCUAAAUAUUGGCGAAAGACCGAUAGCGAACAAGUACCGUGAGGGAAAGAUGAAAAGCACUUUGGAAAGAGAGUUAAACAGUACGUGAAAUUGUUGAAAGGGAAACGCUUGAAGUCAGUCGCGUCUUCCAGGACUCAGUCGGACACUCGUGUCUGAUGUACUUCCUGGUGUGACGGGCCAGCAUCGAUUUUGACCGUCGGAGAAAGGCUCUGGGAAUGUGGCACNUUCGGGUGUGUUAUAGCCCUGGGUCGUAUGCGACGGUCGGGAUCGAGGAUCGCAGCACGCCUUUCAUUGGCCGGGUUCGCCCACGCAAUGUGCUUAGGAUGCUGGCGUAAUGGCUUUAAGNGACCCGUNUUGAAACACGGACCAAGGAGUCUAACAUGCCUGCGAGUGUUUGGGUGGAAAACCCGGACGCGCAAUGAAAGUGAAAGGUUGGGACCUCUGUCGUGGAGGGCACCGACGCCCGGACCAGACCUUCUGUGACGGUUCCGAGGUAGAGCAUGUAUGUUGGGACCCGAAAGAUGGUGAACUAUGCCUGAGUAGGGUGAAGCCAGAGGAAACUCUGGUGGAGGCUCGUAGCGAUUCUGACGUGCAAAUCGAUCGUCGAACUUGGGUAUAGGGGCAAAAGACUAAUCNAACCAUCUAUUAGCUGGUUCCUGCC